rnacentral:rRNA from 1 species
AACGCUAGCUACAGGCUUAACACAUGCAAGUCGAGGGGCAGCAUAUUUUUAGCUUGCUAAGAAUGAUGGCGACCGGCGCACGGGUGAGUAACGCGUAUCCAACCUUCCCAUGGCUCAGGGAUAACCUUGCGAAAGUAAGCCUAAUACCUGAUAUCCUCUUUAGCAGGCAUCUAAAGAAGAGGAAAGAUUUAUCGGCGAUGGAUGGGGAUGCGUCCGAUUAGCUUGCCGGUGGGGUAAAGGCCCACCGGGGCGACGAUCGGUAGGGGUUCUGAGAGGAAGGUCCCCCACAUUGGAACUGAGACACGGUCCAAACUCCUACGGGAGGCAGCAGUGAGGAAUAUUGGUCAAUGGGCGAGAGCCUGAACCAGCCAAGUAGCGUGCAGGACGACGGCCCUAUGGGUUGUAAACUGCUUUUAUACGGGAAUAAAGUCAGUAACGAGUUACUGAUUGCAUGUACCUUAUGAAUAAGGAUCGGCUAACUCCGUGCCAGCAGCCGCGGUAAUACGGAGGAUCCGAGCGUUAUCCGGAUUUAUUGGGUUUAAAGGGUGCGUAGGCGGGAGCGGAAGUCAGCUGUGAAAUUUUAUGGCUCAACCAUAAACUUGCAGUUGAAACUCCGUUUCUUGAGUACACAUGAGGUGGGCGGAAUUUGUGGUGUAGCGGUGAAAUGCUUAGAUAUCACGAAGAACUCCGAUUG